rnacentral:rRNA from 1 species
CCUACGGGGGACUGCAGUGAGGAAUAUUGGUCAAUGGACGAGAGUCUGAACCAGCCAAGUAGCGUGAAGGAUGACUGCCCUAUGGGUUGUAAACUUCUUUUAUAUGGGAAUAAAAUGUUCCACGUGUGGGAUUUUGUAUGUACCAUAUGAAUAAGGAACGGCUAACUCCGUGCCAGCAGCCGCGGUAAUACGGAGGAUCCGAGCGUUAUCCGGAUUUAUUGGGUUUAACGGGAGCGUAGGUGGAUUGUUAAGUCAGUUGUGAAAGUUUGCGGCUCAACCGUAAAAUUGCAGUUGAAACUGGCAGUCUUGAGUACAGUAGAGGUGGGCGGAAUUCGUGGUGUAGCGGUGAAAUGCUUAGAUAUCACGAAGAACUCCGAUUGCGAAGGCAGUUCACUGGACUGCAACUGACACUGAGGCUCGAAAGUGUGGGUAUCAAACAGGAUUAGAUACCCUGGUAGUC